AACGAACGCUGGCGGCAGGCCUAACACAUGCAAGUCGAGCGCCCCGCAAGGGGAGCGGCGGACGGGUGAGUAACGCGUGGGAACGUACCCUUUGCUACGGAAUAGCCUCGGGAAACUGGGAGUAAUACCGUAUGUGCCCGUCGGGGGAAAGAUUUAUCGGCAAAGGAUCGGCCCGCGUUGGAUUAGGUAGUUGGUGGGGUAAUGGACUACCAAGCCGACGAUCCAUAGCUGGUUUGAGAGGAUGAUCAGCCACACUGGGACUGAGCACACGGCCCAGACUCCUACGGGAGGCAGCAGUGGGGAAUCUUAGACAAUGGGCGCAAGCCUGAUCUAGCCAUGCCGCGUGAGCGAUGAAGGCCUUAGGGUUGUAAAGCUCUUUCAGUGGGGAAGAUAAUGACUGUACCCACAGAAGAAGCCCCGGCUAACUCCGUGCCAGCCGCCGCGGUAA
rnacentral:rRNA from 1 species